rnacentral:lncRNA from 1 species
GCAUCUAUUGAUUUCCUUUCUUGUAGUAACGGAUGCUAAGAUUUAAAGUGGGAUGCUAAUGUUUGCUAAGAGAUUUUCAUACGGGUGGAACCUCCAAAAUAAUUCGUUUGAACUAUAUGAUGCGAUAAAGCGUGAGAUGCAAUUUUAUGACGGUACGGUGUAAUCUUUUUCAAGAAUAUUAUAUAAAUUUUUUUCUCUUUUGAUUUGCCGUUAUGUGUUCUUUGUAAAAGAUGUGUGUUAGAGGAAUUAUUAAGAGAAUCGACUUAGGUAUGUUAAGGCUCAGAGGCGAAUGCAGUGUGAGAGUUACCAGUUCAAUUUAACGUAUAACUUUCGAUGCGGAGUAGAAAUAUAUGUAUAAAAAUUCAUUAAAAUUGAGAAAAUAAUAGGUUUGAACCCAUAACUUUAAAUAUAUAAUGGGUUCAAUGUUAAAAAUCUUAAAAAUUGAACCCAUAGAAUUUAAAUCCUAGAUUCGCCUAUGUUAAGACUAUCCCUUCUUUCUUUUGGCAUGAUCCAAUUAACGAUAUGUAAACAUAAUGCUAUUUCAUAAGUGUUUCUACUUUUAAUAUUUAAGGAUGUCUAUGUUAUUCAUUCUUGUAAAGUGAUAUUCAAGCACGUCUAAAUACGUUCUUAAGUCUCUACUGAGGUAUAUGAUAAAGAAGUUAAUAUUUAUAAUAUAGUGAUACAUGCAUCUUCAUGCUUUUAUCACCGUACUACGACUGGUUGGGCAGACAUGCAUAUUCAUUUAUUACCGUCCUACGAACGGUCAGGCAGUCAUGCAUUUACCACCACGCUACGACCGGUUGGAUAGUUACAUAUUUACCACUGAGCUACAGCCGGUCGGGCAGUUAUGCAUUUACCAUCGAGUACAGGCGGUCGGCCAGUCAUGUAUUUACCACCAGGAUAUGACCGUUUGGACAGGUACGUAUUUACUACCGUGCUACAACCGGUUGGGCAAUCAUGUAUAUUCAUUUACCACCAUGCUACGUCCGGUUGGACAGACAUGCAUUUACCACCGGGCUACGACUGGUCGGGUAGUUACCACCGAUUGGGCAGUUAUGUAUCAUUAUUAACCACCGGUUGGGCAGUAAUACAUUUACUAUCGAAUGAUGGCCGGUUGGACAGUUACCACUAAUAAGUUGGGUAGUCAUGCAUCAUACGAUAUGGAUAAUACUCUCAAAGAGAAGAGAAGCAUUAUAUAUAUAAGUAUAAUAAGUAUGCAUAUACGGUGGCACUCUAGAGAUUCAGGUUGAUUCUUAUAUGUCUUUAAGUAAUGCUUACUUAUUGUUAUGUUUCAGUUCCGCGUUACAUACUCGGUAUAUUAUUCGUACUGACGUCCUUUUGUUGGGAUACUGCAUUCAUGCCUACAGGUAUAGAUAAUCAGUUUGACGAACCCUUAUAGUAGACGAGAUUGGCAUUCGUGAAGGAUCGGUAAGACUCCACCUCAUUCAGAGUGCAACCAAGUCGUUGAGUCAUCAUGUCAGAGUUUUACUACAGACUUAUGGGUAGGCUGAUACCCUAUCCCAUUUGAUGUCAAUAAUCUUAGAGGCUUUGUAGACAUAAGUUUAUUUUGUGCAGUAUGUUAGAUGCCUUAACGACCUAUAGGUAUUCAUGUUUUAAGAAAGAUGGUUCAUUGAUACAGUGUUUGUCCACUUAUAGGUAUACAUUACGAGUUGUGACCA